CAAGAUGUAAAUAUUACCCGGUACUGACUGGGCGUGGCCAUGCCCCCUUUGUCCAAUCGGGAGCGCCAGGGGAAGGCCAAGCUUCUGCUUCCAUUUGCCCGCCGUAGUUUCUAAACUUCAUCUCUCAGUAGGGACUGAGGACUUGUGAUGAUUGCACUAAAUGAGAAAUUACGUAAGAAUAAGUUUAUAGGUUUUUCCAGUGUUACACUCCUUUGGUGGCGAAUUUGGACGAAGCCCAUCUGCCUGUGGUCUGUCGGAAGAGGUGGAACUGCUGUCGAGGAAAAAGUGCACAUUCGGUGAUUGAUGAACUCUAAAUAAAACCCCACUGACAACUGUAGGCCUACUCCCUAGAAAGCCACUUACCCGCUACUUCUUCCCAACUGCUAAUUUGUGUCAGACCUCCCCUCAAUCCAGAGCUGGCUGUUUUCGGAUGUUGUAGCUAGUUAAAACAAUACUUUAAAUAGCCUACAUGUUGUGUCCGCGCGAACAAAAGCCAUGUGGUUAUGUGGUAUUUUAUCACAUGUAGGCAGUGUUCGAAUUACGGGCGGAUUUGGGGGGUUUGACCCCCAAGUGACGCCACUGAUGGGAAAUAUAUUGUAAUAUAUUCGUAAUUCGAACACUGCAUGUAGGCUACUGCCGUGUUUGAGAGGAAAAAACAAAGGGGCGUAUUAGCUGUUUUCAUUUUGUGAGCUUGCUAUAGCACGCAAAAUAUGAUAUAGCUAGGCUUACAUAAGGGGUUGGUGUGUCUGACAGAAGCUAUGCGACACAAAUUCAUGUUUUAGGCUACAUUUUUAUGCACAACAAGCACGGUCAUCAGAAUAAUAUCAAACACCAUAAUUCGAAUGUCCUAGGAACGCAAAAGUUCAGAAAAAUGUAUCUAAGUGCAACGGUCGUUGUUAUUAGUUCAUUAUGCAUUUUUCAGUUGGUUCAUCUUUUUUAUUUUAUAUAGAUCUGUAAUUAGCCUGCAAUAUAUUCGCGAUUAUUAUUGAAGUUCGAAAUAGUGGCAAAAGCGCUUCUGUUCAUUCAUAUUUAAUUACAUUUUCUUGCCGGUCUUUACAAAGAAUAGCCUACUUUAUUGAAACAACCUUAUUAAAAUGACCAUUCAUUGCAAUGUACUGUAACCUAGUCUAGCAUUUUUUCCCGACUGCAGGUCUCUCAAAGAUCAACGACCCAAAACACGUAGAAAGCGUACAGAGGCGGCCACGUGACAGCUGUGCGUAUUGGGCUUACUAUAAUCGUCAAGGAUUUAAAUACCUUCCACGUUUUAAUUUGAUAUGGUAGAUGCAGUUAAUGCUUGAGGAGACACGUACGUAGUUAAUACGUACGUAAAUUAGAGGUGUUGUACACUCUGAUUAGUGUUUUCUGUUACAUUAUAUAGUACAAUAUAAUGGCGUUCACUACACCUUUGAGAUUGUUUCCAAAUAGCCUGCUGGGGGCUAAAGCUUUUAGCUAUUCAACCGGGCUACUAAAAUACAACUGAUGGCAUGAAGUGUUAUUACUAUUUUAUUAUUUUAGUAACGUUUUCUGUUUUGUUCACAAAGAAAUGAAAUGAAAAUGGCCAUGUGAGGAAAAAAUACAUGUCAUAUAGCCUAGCCUAAUGCUAUACAAUACUAUUUUGUAGUAUCUCUCUUUUGUUAAAAGUAUUAUCGCUGUAACACGUUUCCGUAUUUUAUAUUAACAUAUACCUUUAUAACAUAUAAGGGUAAGCUCCAAAUUCUACUCGAAUUCGUGUGUUACCACAAAAAGCACCAUGACAGUAAUGCUGCAGUAUUGAAAAUCUGUGGAACAAAUGUUUGGAAAUGUUGAAAUUCUGUUAUGCAUGGUCUGACCCCUUUACACUAGGGGACCAAUUGUAAUUGAAUCCAAAUCGUCCAAAACAGUAUGAAGCGUUUUUAAUAAUCCGUAACGAAGUGAGAAAAUCCAGAGAAUCUACAGCAGAAGGACAGACAUGUUUCUGUAAAAAAAAGCAGGGCUCCUCGUCCUUACCAGAAAAUAAAACGUGCUCUCUGAACUGUU